GCUCACUUUGGAAGCAAAUACUAAAAUUGGAAUAAUACAGAGAAUAUUAUCAUGGCCCCUUGCACAAGGAUGACACACAAAUUUGUGUGCUCUAUAUUUUUUAU